rnacentral:tRNA from 2 species
GCUUGGGUGGUUUAGUGGUAAAAUCGAUGCUUGCCAUGCAUUGGCCCCGUGUUCGAUUCACGGUCCAAGCA